GUUCGCCCAUUAAAGCGGUACGCGAGCUGGGUUCAGAACGUCGUGAGACAGUUCGGUCCCUAUCCGUCGUGGGCGUAGGAAAUUUGAGAGGAGCUGUCCUUAGUACGAGAGGACCGGGAUGGACAUACCUCUGGUGUACCAGUUGUCGUGCCAACGGCAUAGCUGGGUAGCUAUGUGUGGACGGGAUAAGUGCUGAAAGCAUCUAAGCAUGAAGCCCCCCUCAAGAUGAGAUUUCCCAACUUCGGUUAUAAGAUCCCUCAAAGAUGAUGAGGUUAAUAGGUUCGAGGUGGAAGCAUGGUGACAUGUGGAGCUGACGAAUACUAAUCGAUCGAAGACUUAAUCAAAA
rnacentral:rRNA from 1 species